rnacentral:lncRNA from 1 species
GGAUGUAAAUAUGGUAAUACUCAAAGACUUUAAAUUUUAUUAUUGUUUUUGUUCAAAUUUGGUAUGCAGUUUUGAACAAAUAUUUGUUGUUGUUCUGUUUUCUAACAUAUGUUGCUAUUUCUUACUUUUCUUUUUCAGAUCUGUAAAUGAAAAUUUAAAAAAAGGAAAAAGUUGAAGGUUGUAAUCUUACUUUUCUUUUUCUUUUUCUUUUUCAGAUCUGUAAAAAGUAUAUCAAUACUUAACAUAAAUUAAAUAUUGUUAGACAGAAGACAUGAAAAUUUAAAAAAAAGAAAAAGAUGAAGGUUGUAGUCUUCCUUUUCUUUUUAUUUUUCAGAUCUGUAAAAAUUAUAUCAAUACUUAACAUUGAUCUUAAAUAUUGUUAGAUAGAAGACAAUGAAAAAAUUUAAAAAAAAAAUGAAGGUUGUAAUAAAUGGAAGUGAAUAGUAAUGAGAAAAGAUAGAAAUAAGGUUACCGAACAAAUACAACUUCUUUGUACUCUUUAUCUUUUUAUUCUAUAUUAAUAUUAGUUUUAAUUUUUCACCACUCAUUAAAAUAUCCUUUAGAUGAAUAAAGAAGAUCAUAAUUUAACAAUAAAUUUCUUGACGAAAUCAAAGAAAAAUGGAGAAAAUAAAAAAUAUGAAACUAUAU